CGACUCUCGGCAACGGAUAUCUCGGCUCACGCAUCGAUGAAGAACGUAGCAAAAUGCGAUACUUGGUGUGAAUUGCAGAAUCCCGUGAACCAUCGAGUUUUUGAACGCAAGUUGCGCCCGAAGCCUUCUGGUUGAGGGCACGUCUGCCUGGGCGUCACGCAUCA
rnacentral:rRNA from 2 species